rnacentral:rRNA from 1 species
CCUACGGGAGGCAGCAGUAGGGAAUAUUGCUCAAUGGGGGAAACCCUGAAGCAGCAACGCCGCGUGGAGGAUGAAGGUUUUCGGAUUGUAAACUCCUUUUGUUAGAGAAGAUAAUGACGUUAUCUAACGAAUAAGCACCGGCUAACUCCGUGCCAGCAGCCGCGGUAAUACGGAGGGUGCAAGCGUUACGCGGAAUCACUGGGCGUAAAGAGCGCGUAGGCGGGAUAGCAAGUCAGAUGUGAAAUCCUAGGGCUUAACCAUAGAACUACAUUGGAAACUGUUAUUCUAGAGUAUGGGAGAGGUAGGCGGAAUUCUUGGUGUAGGGGUGAAAUGCGUAGAGAUGAAGAGGAAUACUAAUUGCGAAGGCGACCUGCUGGAACAUAACUGACGCUGAUGCGCGAAAGCGUGGGGAGCAAACAGGAUUAGAUACCCGAGUAGUC